rnacentral:rRNA from 1 species
UACGUAGGGUGCAAGCGUUGUCCGGAAUUAUUGGGCGUAAAGAGCUCGUAGGCGGUCUGUUGCGUCGGCUGUGAAAACCCGGGGCUCAACUCCGGGCCUGCAGCCGAUACGGGCAGACUAGAGUUCGGCAGGGGAGACUGGAAUUCCUGGUGUAGCGGUGAAAUGCGCAGAUAUCAGGAGGAACACCGAUGGCGAAGGCAGGUCUCUGGGCCACUACUGACGCUGAGAAGCGAAAGCGUGGGGAGCGAACAGG